rnacentral:rRNA from 1 species
GGGUUGUGAGGUUAAGCGACUAAGCGUACACGGUGGAUGCCCUGGCAGUCAGAGGCGAUGAAGGGCGUGCUAAUCUGCGAUAAGCGCCGGUAAGGUGAUAUGAACCGUUAUAACCGGCGAUACCCGAAUGGGGAAACCCAGUGUGACUCGUCACACUAUCAUUAACUGAAUCCAUAGGUUAAUGAGGCGAACCGGGGGAACUGAAACAUCUAAGUACCCCGAGGAAAAGAAAUCAACCGAGAUUCCCCCAGUAGCGGCGAGCGAACGGGGAGGAGCCCAGAGCCUGAAUCAGCAUAUGUGUUAGUGGAAGCGUCUGGAAAGGCGCGCGAUACAGGGUGACAGCCCCGUACACAAAAGCGCAUGUGCUGUGAGCUCGAUGAGUAGGGCGGGACACGUGGUAUCCUGUCUGAAUAUGGGGGGACCAUCCUCCAAGGCUAAAUACUCCUGACUGACCGAUAGUGAACCAGUACCGUGAGGGAAAGGCGAAAAGAACCCCGGCGAGGGGAGUGAAAAAGAACCUGAAACCGUGUACGUACAAGCAGUGGGAGCCCCACCACUAAGCCAGUGGUGAACUCCACAUACGCAUCCUUUGCUGAGGAUACGGUUAACGGAGCGCAAGCGACGUUCAACCGCAAAAGAAGCAGAGGGGGCUUAGUGGUGGGGUGACUGCGUACCUUUUGUAUAAUGGGUCAGCGACUUAUAUUCUGUAGCAAGGUUAACCGUAUAGGGGAGCCG